CUUGAGGAGAGUGGUUCUGGAAGGGAAAAAAGAGAAGGAAAAGGAAAUGUGACCACCAACACUAGGAAACUGUCUUUUCGUGAGGGCAUUUCCACCUGUCCUGCUCUGAGAAUAUCAGUGCUAUCAGUAGGGCAGAACUCAGACAAGCAUCUUAAUGCAAACAUCGAAGUAACUGAAAUGUGAAGCUGGAAAUCCAGAGAAUUCUCCAAAAGCUUUAAGUAGCUUUUUAGGCUUCAUUCAUGUUGGGCCUAAUGGAUCCUCAAAGGGGAGAAUGGUUUAUCAAAGACAAGCAUUUUAAGUACCUCGUGUUUAUGUGGGUAGCUGGUGUUGAAAACCAAACAGAAGGUAAUGACAGACCACAGCAAGCUGUCUGUUGCUGCAGAUGGAGGAUACCUCUAGGAUUUGGGUCAGAAAACACUUGGCAAGCAUCCCUCUGAAUUCUUCUUGUCACAUGUUGAAGAAGCCUGCUUAGUGGCAGGGGUGAAGAAGGAAGCAGAAAUCUUAAAAUGGCUGCAAUACGAAUUUUUUUUUGUUUUAUUUUUGUUCAGCAUCGGAGCUAUUUACAGCGUAUCUUGCCAAUUUAUUCAUACUGUUGCUGUCAUGGGUUUUCCUGAUUCUCUGCUUUCAGGACCUCCCCCCGCCCCGUGAUCCCAUUUAGGUCUGCAGUGGCAGGAGAAACGAGAGUUACUUAUGCCUCGUUUUAGAAUGGGACCUUGCAGAGAAGGUCUAAGAAGCCAUUUGUUUUCUUUAAACAUAGCUCAGCUUUGCACAGGCACUCACACACAUUCAGACGGUUUCUACUUGAAAUUCCUCAUCCAAUACAAAUAGUUCACAGUCUUGACUGUGGAAAGUGAAGGCGCUCCCCUGAC
rnacentral:lncRNA from 1 species